rnacentral:tRNA from 1 species
GCCGACUUAGCUCAGUAGGUAGAGCAACUGAGUUGUAAUCAGUAGGUCACCAGUUAGAUUCCGGUAGUCGGCACCA